GUGGAUUUUGCAAAAGGUGGGGAAAGCAACCAGAGAGAGAGAGAGUCAUUGCCAGCAGCCAAGUUAAAAGAAGCAUCAGCACCACCCUGCCUGACCUGGCCCAACAGAUAGAUACUAAGAUGCCAUGUUCUACUGUGACAAGGGAGCCAUGCUAUCUGGAGUUAACUUAGGACCAAAGUGGUAUGGUGCAAGUAUAUCCCUACUUCAGGAGAGAAUAAUCCACAAAGACCCAUAUAGGAGGGGGGAAUCCCUAUCCAAACUCACUUGCACUGGGAGGAAAAAGGCUCUUCUAGGAAAUGAGGGUAAUAUAAAACAAAAGACAUCAAUAAAAACAACUUUAAAAGAAAAAAGGCCCAUCGUUUAAACACAACCAUUCUUUCUUUGAUACCUUAAAAUAAUGAGGAGCAACCUCUGAAGAUUUAAAGUUGUGGGUAUCCCAACAUGGAAAGACACAUGGAGGGCAUGAAUAGACUGUGGCAAACAGGGAAGAUUUGCACAGAAGUGGCAUGAAGAAUAUUCAUAGGAAGAUAUAUGAGCAAAAGAAGAGUUUUGUAGGCAUGUACUCCCCUGUAAUCAACACAAGAAGGGAUGUUCCAGGAUGACCUCUAGGAGGUCACUUUGGGGUUCUAUUUGUCCAAGGGUUUUUCCAGAUUGGAUUUAUUGUUAAUAACGAAAAAUGACCUCAAGAUUUAUAAAAAAUACCUUACAGACAUUAUGUACCCUGUGAAUUGGUGGAAUAGAUAUAAUAACCCAUAUUUUAUAGAUAAGAAAACUGAAGCUCAAUAAGGUUAUUGACUUCCCUUUGAUCAUGUAACCAAUAUGUGUCAGAGGGAGGUUUAAAUUUAAGUUAUUCUGAACUCCCA
rnacentral:lncRNA from 1 species